rnacentral:rRNA from 1 species
AAUGGGGGAUAACGUCCGGAAACGGGCGCUAAUACCGCAUACGUCCUGAGGGAGAAAGUGGGGGAUCUUCGGACCUCACGCUAUCAGAUGAGCCUAGGUCGGAUUAGCUAGUUGGUGGGGUAAAGGCCUACCAAGGCGACGAUCCGUAACUGGUCUGAGAGGAUGAUCAGUCACACUGGAACUGAGACACGGUCCAGACUCCUACGGGAGGCAGCAGUGGGGAAUAUUGGACAAGGGGCGAAAGCCUGAUCCAGCCAUGCCGCGUGUGUGAAGAAGGUCUUCGGAUUGUAAAGCACUUUAAGUUGGGAGGAAGGGCAGUAAGUUAAUACCUUGCUGUUUUGACGUUACCAACAGAAUAAGCACCGGCUAACUUCGUGCCAGCAGCCGCGGUAAUACGAAUGGUGCAAGCGUUAAUCGGAAUUACUGGGCGUAAAGCGCGCGUAUGUGGUUCAGCAAGUUGGAUGUGAAAUCCCCGGGCUCAACCUGGGGAACUGCAUCCAAAACUACUGAGCUAGAGUACGGUAGAGGGUGGUGGAAUUUC